rnacentral:lncRNA from 1 species
CUCAACAACCUCUCUUUCAAAAUUAGAAACAAAAACCAUUCACCAUGGCAUCAUCAGCAGCAGCAACAACAACAACAAACACUUGGAUCAAAACCACACUCCCUUCUCCUCCUACAACCUUAAAGAAAAGGUUUCCUUGCAAUUCCAAUUCCAAUUCCAACUCCAACGCCAUCACAUGUUCUCUUCAAACACUCCACUUCCCCAAAAAGUACCAACCAACCUCCACAACCACAACCACAACAACAACAACCACUCCAGCAAGAGAAACCAAACCAGUAAUCGCUUCUCCCUCCGAAACAAAACACCCAUUACCUCAAAGUUGGAACUUCUCCAGAAAGCAGCGGCU